rnacentral:lncRNA from 1 species
AACUAUUCAUGAAGUUUUACAUUACCUAAAACACAUGAAUCAGUCAAUCAUUUAGAUUUAUUUAUUUUACAUUACAGAUGUAAAAUAUUAAAAUUUAACUAUCACAAUUAGAAUAAAAUAAUAAUAAUUCAAAAUAUUACAGUUCAUGAAUUACAUUACUUAAAAAGAGAGAUAUACAAUAAAAUUGUAAUUUAAAUUAUAAAUAUUUAUAAAUUAAAUUUCAAAUAUUCAUUACAAUUAAUU